GCCGGGAUGGCGGAACUGGUAGACGCAAGGGACUUAAAAUCCCUCGAAAGCAAUUUCGUGCGGGUUCGACUCCCGCUCCCGGCACCA
rnacentral:tRNA from 1 species